CCACCCCCCGCGUGCACUCUCUGAGUUUCUCAGUUGGAAAAAGAGUCAUUAAAACGUGUGCGCACACUCGCACGAGCACACACAAAGAGCAGACGCACCACUCAGGAUAAGAGCAGACACAGAAACUGACUGCAGGAAGGAGGAUAUCCUGUUUACCUUGUUCAUUAGAGAAAAGUGGAGGAGGACAAAUUUCUGAAGGAGGCCAGCAGCUCCGAGCGCCAACGUGUCAUAUCAACAGGCGACCUGUCCAGGGUGUUCCACGCACCUCGCCCGAUGGCUGCUAGAGACAUACCAGCUCCUCAUGACCCUGCUGCGGACACCAGCCUGGAGGAGUUCUGCCAUGUUGUGGAGUUGCUAAUGCUAACAGAUUCUACUAGCCGAGACGUGCUCUGCUCUCUCCUGGACGCUAAACCAACAACAGCUGUCCCAAAUCUCCCGAAAAAGCAAAGCUAAUGCAGGAAACAGGCCUACAAGAUAAUUUUAAGGUUUAAUCACGUUUGGAGUGUUUAUAGAGGCAGUAGAGAUUACAUGGCAGCACAAAAAUAUGCAAAAGGUGAAUAUGCAUCUUGUGUCUCCUUUUUAAACAUUCUGAUAUUAUUGCUUUAAUUAGUGGGGACGUUUUUCUUACUUCUGUGCAGGGGCAGCGUUAGGCCCGGCUACUUGGGCUGGAGCCCCGGAUGUUUUAUGAAAAGCCCCGGAUCUAAAUCGUGGAAGUAACAUGCAGUACCAAAGUCCAACAGAGAGGGAGCAGCUGGCAGUAGUUUGUAUACAGCCUGCCUGAGCCUCCACCACUGAAGAAGAAGCCCUUCAGCAGCCGGCUUCUUCUGCAGUCUCUGCCUGAAACGCAUGUGUGAAGAUGGACAUAAGGACGUUUUUUAGACCAAAAGUACAACGACAGAACCCCAGCUUUGAUGAGACUGGUGUUGACUCAGGUUUGUGAGUCUUAUCUGAAAAUAUUUGUUGUGCUGCUGGUUUGCCUAAAGUUAGCUUACUAUCAGGUAAAGUUGAUGGAGAAAGAAAGGGAAUAUUUACUAUCAUCUCACACUAAACACUAACAGGAACAAUACUCUACCCUGAAUAUGCUUAAUAUGUAGCUUCAGAUUAAAAAUUAUGUGGUACAAGACAACUAUAUAUGAUGUUGACUAGUGCAUGUCACGUGUGUGUGCGUGUGCGUAUGUGUGUGUUAAGCCCCGGAUCUUCUUCAGUCCUAAAUCCGCCCCUGCUUCUGUGACAAAACUUACUCUAGACUGCUGUGAAUCUUGGUGUGUGUGUGUGUGUGUGUGUGUGUGUGGCUCAACAGAGAACUAUUUAGUUUCAGACUGAAUAAAUCUGCCGUGUCGUCUGAAACCCUGUGGUGCUCCUGUAGGGCUGGUUAUUUGAUCCACACUCAACUCGUGUACUUGGAGAGGAGGUAGGGGAGGUUAGCUAAAUAGUGUAGCACUCUCGAGCAUCAGGGCAGGCUUUGUCCAAGAAGAUGCUGAACUCAGCUGAUGAGUUGGAGUAACCAAAAGAACACCUCUGGUAAGCUGGCUAAGAAACUUUUGCCAAAGUGGUCAGGCCCAUACCUGAUAACUGCUAAGCUCUCUCCAGUCGUUUAUCAGAUCAAGAUUACCCAAACAAACAAGGAGCCCGUCUAUAAGUGGGUCCACAGGGACAAAAUCAAACCGCACAAGGGUUCCACUAAUUUGGACAAUGCUACCACCAACAACUUACCGACUUCGAAAAGGGGGUGGUUUCAUACCUCGUCGGUUCCAUAGUUCUCUAUUUCGAGUUACACAAGUUUGUCUGUUUGUGUGUGUGCAUGGUUCUUUCCUGUUUAUACAUGACGUGCAGACUUGGGUGAUUUGAGAUAGUCAUGCUGUGGGUUCCUGAAGUCAGGUAAUCAGUAAGUUAACAGUAAUGGGUUUAAUUUCACAUACUGUUGUGUUAUCCAAAUUUGUUUAUUUUUACUAAUCUUAAUUCCUUAUGGGGUAUAUUUACAUAUAGGUUGAUUACUAACCUCACUGAUUUACAUUUUAGUGCUCUUCGACACUCAUGUCUAUCUUUUUAUAUUAUUUUACCUACAGUUGAUUAAGUUUUAAAAACUUUAUGAUUAACUUUGUUAAUUUACCAGUAAUGGGCUACAACCAUUUUUGCCCAUCAUUUUGAUGACAUUUUUACUUAGUGUCAUGACUUCUCCUAUACAUAUAGUAUAGGGUUUUGUUAAUUUGUCCUUUUACACCACUUUUCCAGUACACGUAGUGUAUUGCAUUCAUUUCUUCACUUGAACUCUGUUCACAUAAUUGCUUCACAUAGUACAUACAGGUACACAUAGUGCCAGGUUUAUUUUUCUUUAUUGAUUUGCAUCAGGCGCCAUCUUGUUGCGUCUACAUUGAAGUGCCCUGUGUUGUGCUUUCUCUCCUCUACUGAGUUUCGCCAAUGAUCCUCGAUUCCUGGGUUGGCCUAUGAUUUGUCUUCGGAUCCUACUGCUGCUUGGUGUUCCGGCUCGUUGGACCUGGAUGUCCGUGGAUUCCGGCUAUUGCUGCUGGGAUGUUUCGUUCGUUGGGACCGGAUCCGCUGCCUGCUCGUCCUCUUCCUAUUCUGGAUUACGCUAAGUGCAAUUACAAGGAUCAAAUUACUGUUGACUUAUUCCCCUCCUGAGGAUAUAUUCAUGAUUUGCUGACUUUUGAUAAACCGCCUUGAAAGGAUUUACCCUCUUCCGAAGGAAAUUAUAUACUUUUGGCCUCUGCCUGGGAAAUGACAUCUUGCAUUCUCGACGGAGACCCUCCAGGCCUCUGUUGUUCAAUGCCAGGUGGUCUCUGAUGGACCACCGUGCCCUUGAAAAGGGGGGAUAUGUAGCGUGAUGAAUUGUCCAUCUUUGACCAAAAAAGCCCUGCUCUAUUUGCUCUGCCCAAGCAAAACCAUAAGUUUCUGACACAUGCCUAAUAUACAAGAUAUGGGCCAAGGCCACUCAUGCUCUGUGCUCUUAUCUAAACUCUUGCUUCCUCGGACAGCACAAGAAAGAAGUAAGAAGUCGAAGAACUCUUUCUCUUUAAAUAAUAAUCAAAUAACUUUGUUUGUCCAAAUAAUCAUGUGAAGCUCAAUGUUCAAUCAAUUUGUGUAAUAAGAAUAUUAAUUACUUGAUAUUAUAAUCCUAUGAUAGUAUUUUUAAUAAGUAAUAUAACUUUAAAUUUUAAACACUAGACUGAUCACACGUAAUGCUAAAGUCACAUGACACAUUUCCUUUUUCUGAUCCAAUCAGAACAUUCCAGAUCUGACGCGAGGUGUGGUUUUGUUGGUGCUUGUAUAAUCCUCUUUUGUUGUCAAAUUCUGAUUCGACAGUAAAUCAAAACAUCCAAAUUAUAAAACUAUGCCCCACGUCAUCUUAACUUGAGUUCAAAGCGUUCUAGAGAAGUUAUCGGAGUGGCCAAUCCGUAACUUUUCUCUUUAAGCCGAAAGAACCUAACGACAUGCUGGAUUAAAUCUGUUGCAUGUUCCACCUGCUGCAAUGGUUCCUUCAGAAUAAAAGCUGAACCAUCACGACCCCCUCAGGGUCUCACUGAUGCCAAUAAACUGUUGUGACCUGGGAGUAACUCAAGACUGGAUGGGUCAGCAACCGCUGCAUAUCUACAGGCGUCGGUUCCAAGAGGGUCCAAGCUGGAUCCCGACAUUCUGAAUCUAAAUGGGGGCUUCCGUUGGGGUACGUAGAUCGACAGAUGGCGUCUCAAUGAGUGUUAUAAUCUCCAAACCAAAGCUUAGAGCGAAACACCCUUUCACUCCCACUCUGAACUAAUAGUCUCUCUGGAUUUGCUGGUUCUGAACAUAUUUCACACACACACCAUCCUCAGUCUUACUCCACCUUAGUUACAUCAUACACAUAGUGUUUAAAGUUAGUCUUGUUUAAAUAGUUUAGAAAUAAAUCUUCUUAAACUUUAAAA